rfam:Staphylococcus microti strain DSM 22147 contig_19, whole genome shotgun sequence.
GUUUUGUUGAAUAUUUUACCUAAGACAGUAGGAGCAUCUAAGUGCUUAAUAUUUCAUCCUACCGAGGCUAAAUUGACUUGAACGUGUAAACAUUCAAGCACUUUUUGCCCAGGGUAAAAAGUGCUUUUUUUAUUCGAGA